ACGGGAUUAUUCCUAUUUUCCCAAUUUUCAGCUGAGACUUUCAUCAGCCAAAACUCUAUCCUCAACAACCGCACCUCCGUAGCCCUUCCCCUCUCUCUCUGGCUCUCUCUCUCCCUUUGCCUAAGCUAAACCUGUCCGCCGAAACACGCAGAGAGAGAAAGACGGAGGGAGGCCAUGGAGAGGCUUCUAUAUUCUUCUUCUCCUACUCCUACUCUCAAAUUCCAUCUUAAACCCACCCUAUUUCUCCCUCCACUUCGACGAGUUGACUCGCUCAAAUUCGGUCUUCCCUCUAUACCACGCCCCGAGUUCAGGCGACUCAACUUAGUUUCCUGCAAACAUGAGAACCCAUCAACCCCUCCACCCCUGGUUUUCUCGCGAACUGGGUCAGUUCCAAAAUCCCAUUUUCAUCAACAGAUCGUAAAUGGAGCUCCUGUGCAACAAAAGGUAGUAAAUCUUGGGACGUUUAUAAUACUCUCGGCUGUCAUCAUGUUCUUAAUCCACCCUGUUUUUGCUUCACCAGCAUUUGCAACCUUCCAGACUGCUGCAAAGACUGGGGGUCCUGUUGCUGCUGCUGCAGUUGGGGCAAAACUUUUGCGAACUGAAUUAUUAACUAGUGCUUGGACUGGUUUCUUUGCCGGUUGCUUACAUACGCUGUCAGGACCGGACCACCUUGCUGCUUUGGCUCCACUUUCAAUUGGCCGCUCCCGAAUGGAAAGUGCCGUUGUUGGAGCUCUUUGGGGAUGUGGCCAUGAUGCUGGUCAGGUUAUAUUUGGUUUGCUGUUUCUAUUGCUAAAGGAUCAGCUCCACAUUGAGAUUAUCAGAACUUGGGGCACAAGAGUAGUUGGUUUUACACUACUUGUUAUUGGUGCUAUGGGAAUUAGGGAAGCUUCAGAAGUCCCAACCCCAUGUGUUGCCCUUGAAAAUGGUGAGUGUGAUGUUAGUGUUUAUGAAGCACUAGAAAGCCCAACAGUGGGGAAGAAGAAGAUAGGUUUUGCUACUUUUGCCACUGGGAUUAUCCAUGGGUUGCAACCAGAUGCAUUGAUGAUGGUCUUGCCUGCGCUUGCAUUGCCUUCGCGCUUGGCUGGUGCUGCAUUUCUUAUCAUGUUCCUAUUGGGAACUGUUGUUGCAAUGGGAAGCUAUACUGUAUUCUUAGGCUCUUGUAGUCAGGCACUAAAGGAUCGAGUACCUAGAAUCACUGAGAAACUCACUUGGAUUUCAUCUCUCAUAGCAAUUGCCCUUGGCCUGGCCAUUAUCAUUAGCCAAUUUUUUGGAUAUAGCUUGUAUUGAUCCAUCUAGCAUGGGCAUCAAGAUUCCUAUUUGCAAGCCAGCAUGUUAGUGUAAGAGAAAGAUAUUUAGAAAGGAAUAUUCAACUUAUUUUCAGGGGAAAAAAAAACUGCGUAACAUCUUAUCUCGCAUUGUCAUUGUCUCUCUCACAUUGGUGCUGUUGCCGCUCUAGGUCUCGCUAUCUCUGCCAUUGCUGCUCUCACUCUUGCUCUCAUUGUUGCUGCUGCUCUUCAUUUCGUCAUCUCUGCUGCUCUCAUCUCGCCAUUGUUGCCACUGCUGCUCUCGACUCGUCAUUGCUACUGCUCUUGAUUUCACCCUCGCUGAUGCCCUCGAUCUCACUGUCACUGUCGCCCGACAUAGGCUAUCCUCAUGCUCACGCUUUCCCUCGCCCUCACUUCAUUUUCCUCCUCGCCAUCUAUAGUUUUUCCUCAAUCUUCGUAUGUGAGUUUGUGGUUGUAUAAGUAACAAAGUUCUUGAGUUGUAGCUGAGUCUUUAACAAAUAUAUUAGAUUUUAUAAUUUAUUCUUUUGUAUAAGAAUUGUAGAUCUAUUUGUUAAUGAUUUUUGGAUGAGAAUAUUUUCAACAAUGAAAGAAAUUUUUGAAUGAGAAUCAUUAUUUUCAUUA